rnacentral:rRNA from 1 species
CAAUGCGGGACUGUUAGUCUUGCAAUUGGAUUGAGAACAACGUACAACUCUUAUCGAUAAGCCAUUGGAGGGCAAGUCUGGUGCCAGCAGCCGCGGUAAUUCCAGCUCCAAUAGCGUAUAUUAACGUUGUUGCAGUUAAAAAGCUCGUAGUUGAAGUGAGGGAGUGUGUGGGUAUGAGAGCUAGUCUCAAGUGUUCACAACCUCCCCCCUCCAAUCGGUGUAGUGGGGUAUUCAGUUAUUUCACUACUCCUUUGGUCGUUUACUGUGAGAAAAUUAGAGUGUUCAAAGCGGGCGUUUGUUUGAAUAGAUUAGCAUGGAAUAAUGAUUGAAGGCUUUCGUGUUCGAUUUGAUUGGUUUGUUCAUGGAAGCAAGGUUAAAAGGAACAGUUGGGGGUAUUCAUAUUCACUAGUUAGAGGUGAAAUUCUCGGAUUUAUGGAAGAUGAACAGGUGCGAAAGCAUUUACCAAGGAUGUUUUCA